rnacentral:rRNA from 1 species
UACGAAGGGUGCAAGCGUUACUCGGAAUUACUGGGCGUAAAGCGUGCGUAGGCGGUUCGUUAAGUCUGAUGUGAAAGCCCUGGGCUCAACCUGGGAAUGGCAUUGGAUACUGGCGCCCUAGAGUGCGGUAGAGGGUGGCGGAAUUCCCGGUGUAGCAGUGAAAUGCGUAGAUAUCGGGAGGAACAUCCGUGGCGAAGGCGGCCCCCUGGACCAGCACUGACACUGAGGCACGAAAGCGUGGGGAGCAAACAGG